AACCCUGGACCUCACAGGAGUUGGAGGAAGCACUCCUCGAUGAUCAUUCAGAGGCCUUACACACUGUGAUUGGCAGUGAAAGGGACGAUGGAAAGCUCUAUGCAGGGAGCAGUCAAUGGCUCGAGAAGGAGGCAUGGGGCACUCUGUUUCGGGCCCCGACGGAUUCUUUAUUUUGCCGCAUGGCCACGAACAUUUUUGGACGCCCGAGCAACUCAGGAGCCGCAGUGUGACGGGCACGCUUUGAAACAAGUCGCGUUCGAAGGGGGAGGUUGAACCAAGGCCUGCGUUAACCCCUGAGAAAGUGGCCUCACUAAAAGCUCUCUUCAGCAUAUACAUGGGCAGCGAUGUGCCUAAAGACGCCCAGAGCAAGAGGCUCAAGGACGUGCGCAAGCACCUUGCGCAGAAGCUGGGU
rnacentral:lncRNA from 1 species